rnacentral:lncRNA from 1 species
AAUAUACACCCAAAAAGGGUAUGUCUAACGCAGCAUACAUUUUAUUGAAAAAUGUUACAUACACACGCCAUGUAGAGGUAGGGAUCCAAAUAAGCCUGGGUUAGUGGAGCUCCUACCCUGGAGUAACAAGUUGGGGGACAAAAUUAAGAAAAAAAAAUAAUAAUUUAUCUCGAAUCCGUCCUAAUCUAUUACUAUAAUCUAUUACUAUAUAUUAAAGUAGAACCUUUUAUGAACCCUUUGUGAAAAACUGACACAUGGCGUUCCAUAUGCUUGCCACGUAUCAAACUCAAAUAUAGAAUAGCGAUUUAUUAGAAAACUCAAAUAUAGAAUAGCGAUUAAAAAUCAUAUAAAAUCAAAUUAAUUCAUAUAAAAAUCGUGAUUAAGUCACUAUUAAAAAUCAAAUUAAUUCUAUAAAAAUUAAGUCACGUGUCAAAUUAAUUCAUAUAAAAAUCAUAAGUCGCUAUUUAAAAAUCACUUCACUUCACUAUUACUAUAUACUAAAAUAGAACCCUUUAUAAACCCUUUGUGAAAAACUGACACGUGGCGCUCCAUAUGCUUGCCACGUGUCAAACUCAAAUAUAGAAUAGCGAUUUAUUAGAAAACUCAAAUAUAGAAUAGCAAUUGAAAAUUAUAUAAAAUCAAAUUAAUUCAUAUAAAAAUCAUGAUUAAGUUACUAUUAAAAAUCAAAUUAAUUCUAUAAAAAUUAAGUCACGUGUCAAAUUAAUUCAUAUAAAAAUCAUAAGUCGCUAUUUAAAAAUCACUAUUAAAAAUCAAAACUCAAAUAUAGAAUAGCGAUUAAAAAUCAUAUAAAAAUCAAAUUAAUUCAUAUAAAAAUCACUAUUAAGUCACUAUUAAAAAUCAAAUUAAUUCUAUAAAAAUUAAGUUACGUGUCAAAUUAAUUCAUAUAAAAAUCAAAUUAAGUCACUAUUUAAAAAUCACUAUUAAAAAUCAAAUUAAUUAUAUAAAAAUUAAGCCACGUGUCAAAUUAAUUCAUAUAAAAAUCAAAUUAAGUCACUAUUAAAAAUCACUAUUAAAAAUCAAAUUAAAUCAAAUUAAUUAUAAAAUUAAUUCAAAUUAAUUCAAAUUAAGUCAAAUUAUACCAAUUAAAUAAUUAACUAGAAUUUGAUUAGGAAACACUAUUAAACACUAUUAUUAUAAUUAUACUCAAAUAUAGAAUAAUAAUUUUAUUAAAAAACACUAUUAAAUCAGAUUAAAUCAAAUUAUACCAAUCCUAUUUUCAU